rnacentral:rRNA from 1 species
GACGAACGCUGGCGGCGUGCCUAAUACAUGCAAGUAGAACGCACAGUUUAUACCGUAGCUUGCUACACCAUAGACUGUGAGUUGCGAACGGGUGAUUAACGCGUAGGUAACCUGCCUGGUAGCGUGGGAUAACUAUUGGAAACGAUAGCUAAUACCGCAUAAUAUUAAUUAUUCCAUGAUAAUUAAUUGAAAGCUCCAAUUGCACAACUACCAUAUGGACCUGCGUUGUAUUAGCUAGUAGGCGAGGUAACGGCUCACCUAUGCGACGAUACAUAGCCGAGCUGAGAGGGUGAUCGGGCACAAUGGGACUGAGAAACGGCCCCGACUUCUACGGGAGGCAGCAGUAGGGAAACUUCGGCAAUGGACGAAAGUCUGACCGAGCAACGACGCGUUAGUGAAGAAGGUUUUCGGGUCGUAAAGCUCUGUUGUAAGGGAAGAACGAGUGUGAGAGUAGAAAGUUCACACUGUGACGGUAUCUUAACAGAAAGCGACGGCUAACUACGUG